rnacentral:rRNA from 1 species
AUGUCGCCACCGAAACGCGAGCGAAGUACCAACAUAUGUGCGUCGACGCCAACAACGUUAGGGAUCACGACGACGCUCCCGACCGACAUCUUGCUCGAGAUUAUGGCGCGCACCGACCUUCUCACGGUCGUACGGGGCGCCGCCGUCUGCAAGCACCUCCGCGGUGAUAUCCUAUGCCCGUCCUUCAUCCGCCGCGUCAUCCAACAAGCGGCUCCAAGCAUCCUCGCCCUUCUCUGCGUCUAUGCAGAGAGACCACUAACCCUGGUGUACUCCACCGCCGCGUCUUUCUUCCACAACCAUCUCUCGCCAUACAUGUUGCGCAAUGCUGACAAGGACGUCCUUGGUCCAUACUACCCUGUGGCAUCACGCGGUGGCCUGGUUGUCCUCAACAUGAACGCAUGGCCCAAGUCCGAGGGCUCUUUAGACCUAUGCGUGUACGACCCCAUGAUGGACAGCUGCACCUUCCUCUCAAAACCUCCUGAUGAAACUGAGAGUAGCAUUUGCAAUGAGCACAAGUACGUUCUGCUCACCGCGGCAGAUGGCAUCGACUGCUCCUUCAUGCUGCUCUCCAUCGUUUUCAAUAGAUCAAGCAUGAAAGUAUGCACUGCCACAUCCUCCUCUCCUACCUGGGGGCCUACCACUUGUGUGACACACCAUGACUUCACAUGGUGGCUGAUAAAUAGCUACAAGGACCCCGCAGUCCUCCGCGGAGGCGUCAUCCACUGGCUAAGAUACACCGGUGACCAAAUCGUCACCUACAACGUGCGCACAAGGAUGCCGGGACUUGUGAAACUCCCACCCACAAAACACAAUGCAAGGCAGUCCCAUUUGGCAACCUCCCCGAAUGGGAACAUGCUCAAACUAUUGGAUGUAGAUGGGUCCAAGAUAUCAGUCUGGCUACUACUCCCUACAAGCGCAGAAGGUGGUGGCAAUGGUUGGGCACUGCAAACUGUGAUCGACAUAGAGGAGAAGCUACUAUUUUUGUACCCAAAUAUCCAUGUUGGGGUUGACCCUGAUGCACUAGUGGAGUUCAAGGGCUCUGGGAAGAGGAGUGGCGACAUGGUCUUGCUGGAGGCACGAUAUGAGGAAGGCUCCCUGGUUAUUGAUUUGAAGAGAAGGGAGAUGAAUGCUCAAAAUCAGAGAUCCACUUUGUUGGAGGUUGACCUACUAUCUCGCCUACAAAAUAUGAAACUGUUCUCGUAG